UACGGAGGGUGCGAGCGUUGUCCGGAAUCACUGGGCGUAAAGGGCGCGUAGGCGGCCUGAUAAGUAGGGGGGUGAAAUCCUGCGGCUUAACCGCAGGGCUGCCUUCUAAACUGUCGGGCUCGAGCACAGUAGAGGCAGGUGGAAUUCCCGGUGUAGCGGUGGAAUGCGUAGAUAUUGGGAAGAACACCUGAGGCGAAGGCGGGUUGCUGGGCCGACACUGACGCUGAGGCGCGGAAAG
rnacentral:rRNA from 1 species